rnacentral:rRNA from 1 species
AAACCAACAGGGAUUGCCUUAGUAGCGGCGAGUGAAGCGGCAAUAGCUCAAAUUUGAAAUCUGCCAACAGGCCGAGUUGUAAUUUGAAGAAAGCAAUUCUGGAUGUGUCUUUGCUCAAGUUCCUUGGAAUAGGACAUCAUGGAGGGUGAGAAUCCCGUGAUGCGAAGGUAGCACGUCUAUGUAGAAUGUUUUCGAC